UGGCCGAUUUUGGCACUAGCACAUUUUUGCUUUUCUCUCCGCUCUGAGCAAUCAUGUGCAGUGCCAAUAUGGGAAA
rnacentral:pre_miRNA from 1 species